rnacentral:tRNA from 1 species
GGUUGCUUGGCGCAGUUGGUCAGCGCGUCUCCUUAACAAGCCGUGUAGGAUUCCACCUGCACGACCAGUUAUCGGAGGAGGUCCUCAGUUCGAGCCUGGGAGCGAUCA